rnacentral:rRNA from 1 species
GAUGAACGCUGGCGGCGUGCCUAAUACAUGCAAGUCGAGCGAACGGACGAGAAGCUUGCUUCUCUGAUGUUAGCGGCGGACGGGUGAGUAACACGUGGAUAACCUACCUAUAAGACUGGGAUAACUUCGGGAAACCGGAGCUAAUACCGGAUAAUAUUUUGAACCGCAUGGUUCAAAAGUGAAAGACGGUCUUGCUGUCACUUAUAGAUGGAUCCGCGCUGCAUUAGCUAGUUGGUAAGGUAACGGCUUACCAAGGCAACGAUGCAUAGCCGACCUGAGAGGGUGAUCGGCCACACUGGAACUGAGACGAGGUCCAGACUCCUACGGGAGGCAGCAGUAGGGAAUCUUCCGCAAAGGGCGAAAGCGUGACGGAGCAACGCCGCGUGAGUGAUGAAGGUCUUCGGAUCGUAAAACUCUGUUAUUAGGGAAGAACAUAUGUGUAAGUAACUGUGCACAUCUUGACGGUACCUAAUCAGAAAGCCACGGCUAACUACGUG